GCAGCCAGUUCAGUCCGAGCCGAGAGUCAGCGCGGAGCGUAUACCGAGCGCGCAACGAAAACCGAACAGACACCACCCGCCGCCGUGCCCGACCCCAUCGCGGAGUGCAACAGCGUGUCGUGACAGUAGUAGUGCAAACCACACCGCCGCCACCAUGUCGGCCGGACUCAGUUGCGGGAGUAGCGUCAUCAAGUACCUUCUGUUCAUCUUCAACUUCGUCUUCGCGCUAUGCGGCCUCCUCCUGGUCGUCCUGGGCGCGCUGUCGCUGAACGCCAUGGCGCCGCUGUCGCAGAUCGGGAACCACAUCGACUCGUCCGCCAUCGUCCUGAUCGUGGCGGGCGCCAUCAUCUUCAUCAUCGCCUUCUACGGCUGCUGCGGCGCCGUGCAGGAGAGCAGCUGCAUGCUCAUCACGUUCGCCGUGCUGCUCCUGGUGAUCAUCAUCGUCGAGGUGAUCGCGUGCGUGCUGGCCUUCAUGUACAGCUCCCAGGCACAGAGUGAGGUGACCGACGGCAUCAGGACCCUGUUCGAGAAGGCGCGCCAGGGCGACGACAGAUACGCCAGCGAGGCCGUCGACUACUUCCAGAGCAAGCUUCAGUGCUGCGGUGCCGACGGUCCCUCGGCCUGGGGCACGGGCCCGCUGACUCUGCGCCCCUCGUGCUGCGGUGGCUCGUCCGUCUGCACCGUCGUCAACGCUUACCCCAACGGCUGCAGGACCGCCAUCGCCGACUUCCUCAAGACCAACGGCAAGAUCGUGGGCGGAGUGGCUAUCGGCGUGGCCGUCGUGGAGCUGGUUGGAGUGUGGUUCGCGUUGGGUCUGGCUGGAGCCAUCAAGAAGGCGGAGCGCGGCGGGCAGCGAGGAUACUAGACAAAGCUCCUCGCUUUUGGUUUAUGAACUUGACUGGCUCUCAAGAUGAUCAAAAGACGUGUCGUGCAAGUGUCGUGUGUUGUUAACUACCGUACUUUUUAGGCUAUUUAUGUUUUUAAAUUAUUUUUUCUUUUUGCCUUUACCUCUUUUCAUUCCUGAUGACUUUUUAAAAAUAAUGAACUUUAUAAUAAAACUAUCAUUCCCGCCGACCUUAUGAAAUUAGGGGAUGUGCGUAUUGCUAAUGCAAGCCCAAAGAACGUUUUGUACAGUUACCGGUAUGGACAGUCCGUCCGCUGUAUCCUUUAGUGGGAUUCGCCACUUUUAUUGCCUGAAGUUAAACUUAAAAGAAAUACCUUAAGUUUUUGUAUAAUUUUAUUAUAGAUAUUAUUAAAUUAAAAUUUUAAAAUAUUA